rnacentral:pre_miRNA from 1 species
GGCUUGUUAAAGUUUAGACUGAUGUUAGUGACUCACCGAGCUCUUCUUUUUGGAGGUGGGCACUGUGAUGUACGAGAAGUGUGACCUGCAAUAUCGACCACCAAAAGAAUAGCUAUGUGGUUCAUUCUUAUCAUUCUAAUUUUAAGCAAGC